UAAAUAGCAAUGAAGAGGAAGAGUACCAAAACACUUGAUUUUAGAGACAGAUUGGUUGGUGAAAAAUCUGAUAAGUCUUUGGGAAGGUCGCCUUGGAGCUGAUGAUGCGAUGAGUGUCAUCCGUAAGCCGCGUUAAGGCAUAAUGAGGGCUAGAGCAAUCUAGAACUAAGGUGGUACCGCGUAAUUAUACGUCCUUAGC
rnacentral:ncRNA from 1 species